rnacentral:rRNA from 1 species
AACGAACGCUGGCGGCAUGCCUAACACAUGCAAGUCGAACGAGACCUUCGGGUCUAGUGGCGCGCGGGUGCGUAACGCGUGGGAACCUGCCCUUAGGUUCGGAAUAACUCCCCGAAAGGGGUGCUAAUACCGGAUAAUGUCUUCGGACCAAAGAUUUAUCGCCUUUGGAUGGGCCCGCGUUGGAUUAGCUAGUUGGUAGGGUAAAAGCCUACCAAGGCGACGAUCCAUAGCUGGUCUGAGAGGAUGGUCAGCCACACUGGGACUGGGACACGGCCCAGACUCCUACGGGAGGCAGCAGUGGGGAAUAUUGGACAAUGGGCGAAGGCCUGAUCCAGCAAUGCCGCGUGAGUGAUGAAGGCCUUAGGGUUGUAAAGCUCUUUUACCCGGGAUGAUAAUGACAGUACCGGGAGAAUAAGCUCCGGCUAACUCCGUG